GAUCCUGCCAGUAGUCAUAUGCUUGUCUCAAAGAUUAAGCCAUGCAUGUCUAAGUACAGGCCGAACCAAGGCGAAACCGCGAAUGGCUCAUUAAAUCAGUUAUGGUUCAUUGGAUCUUACCUUGUUUUACUUGGAUAACUGUGGUAAUUCUAGAGCUAAUACAUGAUAGCCCAGCUCCGACCGCAAGGAAAGAGCGCUUUUAUUAGAUCAAAACCAAUCGGGCUUCGGUCCGUUCUCACUGUGGUGAUCUGAAUAACUUUGAGCUGAGCGCACGGUCUUUGAACCGGCGCCGUAUCCUUCAAGUGUCUGCCUUAUCAGCUUUCGAUUGUAGGUUAUGCGCCUACAAUGGCUAUAACGGGUAACGGGGAAUCAGGGUUCGAUUCCGGAGAGGGAGCCUGAGAAACGGCUACCACAUCUAAGGAAGGCAGCAGGCACGCAAAUUACCCACUCCCAGCUCGGGGAGGUAGUGACGAAAAAUAACGAUGCGGGACUCUUCCGAGGCCUCGCAAUCGGAAUGAGUACACUUUAAAUCCUUUAACGAGGAUCUAUUGGAGGGCAAGUCUGGUGCCAGCAGCCGCGGUAAUUCCAGCUCCAAUAGCGUAUAUUAAAGUUGCUGCGGUUAAAAAGCUCGUAGUUGGAUCUCAGUUCCGGACCGACGGUUCACCGCCCGGUGCUUACUGUCGGCUUCCGAACAGCCGCACGCCGGCUCGGCCAGGGUGCUCUUCAUCGAGUGUCCUGGUUUCGGCCGGCACGUUUACUUUGAAAAAAUUAGAGUGCUCAGCGCAGGCUGCAACGCCUGAAUAAUCUGUGCAUGGAAUAAUGGAAUAGGACCUCGGUUCUAUUUUGUUGGUUUUCGGAACCCGAGGUAAUGAUUAAUAGGAACUGUCGGGGGCAUUCGUAUUGCGACGUUAGAGGUGAAAUUCUUGGAUCGUCGCAAGACGGACUACUGCGAAAGCAUUUGCCAAGAAUGUUUUCAUUAAUCAAGAACGAAAGUUAGAGGUUCGAAGGCGAUCAGAUACCGCCCUAGUUCUAACCAUAAACGAUGCCAACCAGCGAUCCGCCGGCGUUAUUCCCAUGACUCGGCGGGCAGCUUCCGGGAAACCAAAGUCUUUGGGUUCCGGGGGAAGUAUGGUUGCAAAGCUGAAACUUAAAGGAAUUGACGGAAGGGCACCACCAGGAGUGGAGCCUGCGGCUUAAUUUGACUCAACACGGGGAACCUCACCAGGCCCGGACACCGGAAGGAUUGACAGAUUGAGAGCUCUUUCUCGAUUCGGUGGGUGGUGGUGCAUGGCCGUUCUUAGUUGGUGGAGCGAUUUGUCUGGUUAAUUCCGAUAACGAACGAGACUCAAA
rnacentral:rRNA from 1 species